rnacentral:misc_RNA from 1 species
AAGACUAUAGACCUGCGGAGUACCUGCGGAGGGAUCAUUACCGAGUUAUCAACUCCCAAACCCCUGUGAACAUACCCGAACGUUGCCUCGGCGGGACCGCCCCGGUGCCCCUAGCGGCCCGGAACCAGGCGCCCGCCGGAGGACCCAAACUCUUGCUUUAAACAGUGGCAUACUCUCUGAGUCUCACAAACAAAAAAUAAAUCAAAACUUUUAACAAUGGAUCUCUAGAUCGGAAGAGCA